GGUGAUGUUGACUGGUGGUGAGGUUGUGUUGAGUGGUGGUGAGGUCAUGUUGACUGGUGGUGAGGUUGGGUUGACUAGUGGUGAGGUUGCAUUGAGUGGAGGUGAGGUCAUGUUGACUGGUGGUGAGGUUGCGUUGAGUGGUGGUGAGGUCAUGUUGACUGGUGGUGAGGUUGGGUUGACUAGUGGUGAGGUUGCGUUGAGUGGUGGUGAGGUCAUGUUGACUGGUGGUGAGGUUGCAUUGAGUGAUGGUGAGGUUGCGUUGAGUGGUGGUGAGGUUGGGUUGAGUGGUGGUGAAGUCAUGUUGACUGGUGGUGAGGUUGCAUUGAGUGAUGGUGAGGUUGCGUUGAGUGGUGGUGAGGUCAUGUUGACUGGUGGUGAGGUUGCAUUGAGUGGUGGUGAGGUUGUGUUGACUGGUGGUGAGGUUGGGUUGACUAGUGGUGAGGUUGCAUUGAGUGGAGGUGAGGUCAUGUUGACUGGUGGUGAGGUUGCGUUGAGUGGUGGUGAGGUUGGGUUGACUAGUGGUGAGGUUGCGUUGAGUGGUGGUGAGGUCAUGUUGACUGGUGGUGAGGUUGCAUUGAGUGAUGGUGAGGUUGCGUUGAGUGGUGGUGAGGUCAUGUUGACUGGUGUUGAGGU